rnacentral:rRNA from 1 species
UGCGCAGGCGGUUUUGUAAGACUGUCCGGUGAAAUCCCCCGGGCGUCAACCUGGGAAUGGCGAUGGUGACUGCAAGGCUAGAGUUUGGCGAGAGGGGGGUAGAAUUCCACGUGUAGCAGUGAAAUGCGUAGAUAUGUGGAGGAACACCGAUGGCGAAGGCACGCCCCCUGGGUCAAAACUGACGCUCAUGCACGAAAGCGUGGGGAGCAAACAGGAUUAGAUACCCGUGU